rnacentral:lncRNA from 1 species
AUUUUCCUUUUGUUCUGGCCUGUGUAGACACUGUGCUGUAAAAUCUGCCAUGGCUAGCAGGGGUUAAGGGGAACACAAGAAGAAUUACAGAUCCCAUAUGAAAUUAUGUGAAAUAAAUUUUAAAUUGCAUUGCAAUAAUAUUCUUCAAGUAUCAUCUUAGAGAAACAUGCAUCAAAUUCUCACAGAAACCUUUGGAGAAUACUUUAGGAAGGAUUUUAAUUGCUGCAGACAGCAACAGAUAUGAAAACUAUCAGAAAGCUAAUGAUUCCUCAAUCUACCAUCUUAGAUCAGAAGUUGAAGAAGAAUCAGGUAACAUAAUCAAAUUGCAGAAAGAUCUUAGGGAAGCAAGGUGUGAUUCCCUGUGCUGUCAUCUGAAUAAAUAGUAAGCCAAGAAUACUCCUGAAGUUGUAACAGAGGAAUUUAUAUUGAUGUAAAUAAUUGAAGCAUCAGUUUUAGGUUUUGUCAAGAAAUGCUAGGUUUAAUAUUGAUAAAUGUAAAUAAUAGCCAUAAUGUUCAUAAAUCUGGUCAAUUAUUUUCCAGUAGAAUGAUUUUUAAUGGAAUAGAAUAAUUUCAAGGAAAUGCAAUAUCUCGUGAACAUUUUGAAGGGGAAAUUAUAGAAGUAUUAUGUUCUGAAUUAAUUAUAUUUGUGUUGGUAAGAGAUACAUAGGCAACAUUUCUUUCAGAAACUGUAAAAAAAUACAAUCUGAAUGGUAACAGGUAUUUUAGAAUUUCUCCUCAGGCAGACUUCUAUAUGAGACUCGUGUCUCCUAGCACUCAGGCUGUACGAUUUAUAUAUACAUAAUUAGAAAAAAAUCUGUGGAGAUCAAUUAAAUUAAAAUGCAUAAGUAGAAUCUGAAGGGAAUUUGAUAAAGUUUUAGGGAAUAAGUUUUUUGAUACCAUUUUAGCUCCUUUACAAGCAAGGAGAUAAAAUAAUUCCCGUCUUUGGUUCAGCUCUGGCGUUUCACAGCUCAGCUCUGGGAAGUUCUGAGUGUGGCACAUGCAUUGACAAAUGUCCAGUGCUCUGACGUGUUAAAAACCUUAACAACUUUAUAUUUGUAUACCCAACUGCUGAAUCUGGGUAAAAAAGGGAUCAGUGAGCUGUAGUUUUCUAUGGCUGGGUCAUGCUCAGUCCUCAUACAAUUAAGUAGCGGAAUUAUUAUUUGCAUUUAUUUAAAAAUAAGUCAAAGAACACAAAAUAGUUACAGACGUACUGCACCAAUAAUGUACUCUGUGUAUUGGUGAAAAACUGUUCUGCUAUUAACACUUGAGUCUAAACUUUCAGUUAACCCUUUUAAGCUUAGGAAACUCCUGAGGUAAUCUGCAUUCUGGACAAACUACAAAAUACUUCUCUGAAUUGCUUCCAUUUUGUG